rnacentral:lncRNA from 1 species
UAUGUUUAGAUAAUUAUUUACGCUAUUUCUGCUGGAGUUACUAAUGCUCUUUUGUUUUUGUUUUUGUUUUUGUUUUUCCUUUCCUUCACCGAGCCGAUGGUCGAUUGGAAACAGCCUCUCUGCCCUUUCGGGUAGGGGUAAAGCUCGUCUACAUAUUACCAUAGCCAGACCCCACUUUGUGGGACUAUACUAGGUAGUUGUUGUUGUUGUUGUUGUUGUUGCUUGUCGCUCUCUUCCUUGUACAUGGUAACUUAGCUCCAAUUAUCAGCUACUUUUAUUGUCGGGAGAUAUUGCGACAGAGUUUCUGUGCUGCCUUUUUUCUGUUAAGUACUGAAGAUAUUUGAGUUUCAUGUGUUUCCUACUGGAACGAGACCUGUAGUUUGAUCUGAAAAUUUUCAGGAGUUUAACUCCUAUGUUACAGAAGUUGACCUCUUUGGAGGAAGGAAAAAGUAAGCAUCAAGAAGAUGCAAAAGUUACC